UACGUAGGGUGCAAGCGUUAAUCGGAAUUACUGGGCGUAAAGCGUGCGCAGGCGGUCUUGCAAGACAGAUGUGAAAUCCCCGGGCUCAACCUGGGAACUGCAUUUGUGACUGCAAGGCUGGAGUGCGGCAGAGGGGGAUGGAAUUCCGCGUGUAGCAGUGAAAUGCGUAGAUAUGCGGAGGAACACCGAUGGCGAAGGCAAUCCCCUGGGCCUGCACUGACGCUCAUACACGAAAGCGUGGGGAGCAAACAGG
rnacentral:rRNA from 1 species